rfam:Triticum aestivum genome assembly, contig: Triticum_aestivum_CS42_TGACv1_scaffold_576869_7BL
AUAAUACUCCCUCCAUCUAGAAAUACUCGUCGGAGGAAUGAAUGUAUCUAGAUGUAUUUUAGUUCUAGAUACAUUCAUUUUUUGCAUUUCUCCGACAAGUAUUUUCGGAUGGAGGGAGUAUUUA